CUUUUCAAAUCAUUUUUAUUAAAGUUUUAUUACAUUUUCAACAAAUUAUGCAAAUAAGGGGAAACCAGGAAGUAAGAAGUGGUAUCCAUCCAUUAUUAUAAGAAAUAUAAUAAUUCACAUGACAUAGAUAGAUUGUACAAUGAUACAGUUCAACAUUAAAUCAAUUUUUUUUACAAACGAUGGACAUUUUAAAUUUCUUCCUCUCAUUUAUCCCAAUCAUUUUUUUAGUUUUGCGAAAGAAUGUGUAUUGCUCCUAUGUGAUAAUUUGUGUGCUUUAUUAUCUAGAAUUAAGUUCUUUAAAUGAUGGUGUGUUUUUUGACUUCCAAUACCUUGGCAAGCAUGAAGAAGCCGUAAUCAGGAUGUGGCCUAUUAUUAUUCUAUCAGUUCUACCAACAGACUCAGGGAAUUUUUUAAAUAAUGCAAGCUUUGAGGUUAAAACACAGAUAGUUCUAUCUAAUUUAACAAUUAAAUCGUGGAUCAUUCUCCAAUACCUUGCAAUUUUGGGACAAUACCUCCAUAUAUGGGCCAUACUUCCCAAACCCCCACAGUCCCUCCAACACCGGACAGAAUACCUGUUUUUUAUAUUGUGCAAUUUAGACGGAGCCAAGUACCAGCGAUACAAUUUUUUUUUGUGGUUUUCGAAGUGGUCAGUGCAAAAAGAAAUCCCUUUUAAUGCUUUAAAAAAAUCAUACCUCCAGCUCAUAUUGUAUACCCAGCUCUGUCUCCCAGGAUACUAUAUGUUUCAGUUUAUCUAUGGGUUUGGCAUUGUAUAGUGCCCUUUCUAUUUGGAUCACAUAAAAAAAAAAUUUCUAGUGGUGUUAUCUCUAUUGAUUUAUAAUGUUUGCCGGUGUCUGGUGCGUUAUAUCAUUCUUUCAAUUUUUCAAUGAUUAACAUGCAUUCUUCUUUACAAUCAUUCGUUAGUCCAUGUUAAUGUUUUAAUUUUUCAAAUGAAUGGAUGGCGUUACCAUGAAAAAAAAACUAUCUACGUUCGUUAUAGGGUAUUCUUUCAAUAAAUCUAGAUUAUAAAAAGGUAUAUGGUCUUUCAACAAUUCAAUCGGCACUGCUCUAUACACUCUCGCAGUGUGGCUAUUAUUUUAAAAAACAAUAUCCCAGGCCUUGAGAGUGUUUUUUUUUUUAUAAAAAUUGUUUAGUGACUCUAGGCUUUUUUUCAGGACAUAGCCAGGGUAAGCCUAAACGGGAGAAUUUUUGACUCCUCUAUUUCCAUCCAUCUUGGCUUGUUAGAUUGACUAUUAAAACUCACGACCACUGCAGCAUUAGUUGCAAAAUAGUAUUUGCGGAUAUCCUGUACGCUGAUACCGCCAUUAGAUUUGUGAUGCUGCAGGGAAGUUUUAUCCUGCUAAGUUUAUUCCUCUAAAUAAAUUUUAACAUAACCGAAUGUAUUUUAUUGAAAAAAUAUAAUGGUAUAGAUAGAGGUAUGUCCUCAAAUAAUAAAAGAUUUUUGGGAUGGAUUUGGGAUGCGAUUCUCCCUAGUUAUGUGAAUUCCAUCCCGCCAAAUUUUUCCAUCUCUUUUUGCAGGUCUGGCCAUGCUUUCCUUAAGUUAUGAGUAUGCAUAUUUACAAAAUUUUUGCACAAAUUAAUGCCUAGAUAUUCUAAAUAUUAAUUUCUCCAAUCAUAUAAAUACAUUUUCUUAAGGGUGGUGAAUUCUGAAUAAUAUAUGUGGAAUGGGAGGGCCUAAGUCUUGGACUCAUUUAAUUUAUAAUAAGAUACUUCUCCAAACUGAAGUAAAAUAUCUUUAAGAUAUUUUAAAGAUUUUCAAGUGCCAAGAUAAUAUCAUCGGCAAAUAAGCCAAUUUUGUGAAUAGAUCCUUAAAUGUUUAUUCCUUCAGUUUCUGGUGUCGUUCUAAUUAAUUCAGCCGAAGGGUUCCAUAGCUAAGACAAAUAAAAUUGGAGAUAAAGGGCAGCCCUGCCUUGUCCCAUUAGUGAGCAAAAAAGUUUGGGAUUUAAAUCCAGAAGCUGAGACAUGGGCUUUGGGGUAUAGCGCCUUAAUUGCACUAACAAAGGAUAAUGGGAUAUUAAAUCUGCUAUGUUCUCCAUAGGUAUCCCCAAUGUAUCCUGUCAAACGCUUUUUCUGCAUCCAAUGAAAGACUCAAAGAAGGCGUUUCAGUCAAACUAAUGUGCUGGAUCAAAUUGAUAAAUCUCCUAGUUCCAUCUGGUGCCUGUCUGCCCUGUACAAAACCCACUUAGUAGUUAUUAAUUAAUAAGAGGAUUCAUUUAGCUAACCUGUAUGCUAGAACUUUAGCGUAAAUUUUUUAAUCAUUAUUUAUCAGAGAAAUGGGCCUAAAAUUAGGACACCUAUCAGGAGUUUUCCCAGUUUUGGUAAGGUGACAGUGCGCACAAGGACUCCUCCGGAAUCUUCCCCCCGGAUUUAUAGGAGUGGAACAAUUUCAUCAUAUGGGGAAUUAAGAUUUCUGGGAAGGUUUUGUAAUAUAAAAUAGUGAAUCCAUUAGGACCUGGCGCCUUUCCAGAUGGCAUAAGUUUGAUUGCCUCAGCUAUCUCUUCAGCUGAUAGCUCACACUCUAAGCUUUUUAAAUUAUCUGGAGACAACCUAGGAAACGUCACUUUAUCUAAAAAUGUAUUAAUUGUUACUUCUGAAGAUUGGAGAAAAUCCAAAUCCAAUUCUAGAUUAUAAAGUUUGCUGUAGUAUUCCACGAAUAAAUCACUAAUAUUGGUUGGAUGAAAUAUUGUUUGUCCCUGGUCGUUUAAUAAAUAUGCUAUCUUUGACUGGACAUUUACAUGCCGGAGUUUAGACGCCAGAAGAGUUGAGGCCCUGUUGCCUUUUAAACAAAAUGUUUUAUUAAGACGUCUCACCAUGAGAGAUGUACGAUCUAAAUUAAUUUUAUGGAUUUUUGACUCGAUCUCUCCUAUUUGAUAGGGAAGUCGAUGGGCGAAAUUGUUUGCCUGAUUCAGAUUGUAUAGUUAUUUUUCCAUUGUUCUCAGAUUAUUAUUAUUGAUUCUCUUCAGGUGAGACGCUCUAGAAAUAAAAUGACCUCGCAACACAGCCUUGUGCGCAUUCCAAGCCACCUCACCAGGAACCUCAGAUAAAACAUUAUCUGGAAAGUAAUCACUUAAGACUUUCUCUGCUAAUGAUUGGUCGGACCAAUUAAUAUCUAAAAUAUCAGAUCAAUCUCUAAGGAUCAUACAAACCACAUUCAAUAAUGUAUUUUGAGCAUUUAUCCGCUAAUCUGUCUCUAUCUCUCCUAUGGGAUUGGUCAGAGUUUUUCCUAGCAUUACCAAAAUACGUCUCAGAUUUUAAUUCACCAGAUCCAUAAUUUUCCUAAAAAAACUUAAUUGACCGGUGUUGGGAAAAUACAUAUUCACAAUUGUAUACUCAACAUUAUUAAUUUUAGCUGUUCAUAAUAAGUACCUCCCUUCAUUGUCUGUUAGUACCUUGUAGGUGAAUCAUGCCACGUUGGGUUGGGAAAAGUCUCAACAUAAAUUUAUAGUCUUUAUCGUCUUUAAAGCGUUUUUCCUGUACACAAAUUACAUCAGACUUGUUGGACUUUGCUUCUGUAAAUAUUAGUCUUCUCUUGUGCGCUGUGUUCAGGCCUCUCACAUUAAACAACAAAAAAUACCAUGAUUUAUUCCCUAAUCCAUGAUUAAUAAAGAAAAAAUAAGUGAUAAUGUGAGAUUCUGAACCUCCGCACUCCAAGAAAGAUAUAAGCAAAUCCAACAAUAUUGCUAAAAUAGAGACAAGCUGUUUACAUGUAUGAACAAUGGUAUUGAAUGGUAUUGAAUGCAUGAGCUUGUUUAAAUACUAAAAGACGUGCUGGGCUAGUUCCAUAAAGCGUUGUACAAGUUAUAACAUUAAAUAGUGUUGUGUAAAAUAUUUUGCAUAUCACAAGGAAAUGGAUGGACAUAAAAAAAAAGGGUAUAAAAAAACUAUUAGGGGAAAAAAAAGAAUAUUAGUUAAAAAAAAAAGGGUCAUGAGGAAGAAUAUUUUUUUUUUCUCCAUCUCAGGGUGUUAGGCCCAGGUUGAGGGGAGAGAAGACUACUGGGGGCAAGAGAACCAUUGUAUUAAAAAAAUGUCAAACCAUUGUCUGAGAAAAAAAAAAUUUUUUAGUUCAAAGUAAAAGAGUCAUAAAUAGUAAAGUGAAGUUCUGGGGUAAAUAGUAGUAGUACGCAACAAGUAGCCACAAUUAUUCAAACCCAAAAGGCUGUUGAAAUAAAAGAGGAAAAAAACAAACCAAAUUUUCAAGUAAUCCCGACAUAUUCCAAAGUUGGGGCAGUAAUCAUUAGUAUGGUUUAAAGAUAAAGUUUUCCUAGAACAAUACCAUCAAUCCCAGUAAAAAAGAAAAAAAAUUAUAAACAAAAAGAAAAAGAAGAAGAAAAGAUAAGUCAAGUGGCAUGUAAGCAAAAAAAAAAAAAAGGCUGGAACAACGUAGACUGGAACUUGGAAAUCAGGAACUCAGGAACAGCAUUGGUCUUCAUGGAGAGUCCAGUUUACUCCUCUUGUUGACCUGCUCAGGAGUAGAUGGUGAAAGCAUGUGCGGCGGUACAGUACAUCUGCUCAAGGAGUUGAAAAGUUCCAUUCCUUCCUCGGGCGACGUGAUUAUAAAAUUCUGUCCAUCCAUGUAGAAGAGCACUUUAACAGGAAAUCCCCAUCUGUAUCUUAUUCCUUUCCGACAUAACUCUGACGUGAAAGGUUGGAAUUCCCUGCGCUGUCUCAUCGUAUGAGCUGAAAAAUCCUGGAAGACCUUCAUGUUGUUGUAGUCUCCAGGAAGGCCAGAUGUGCGCACUGCGCCCAAGAACUGCUUCUUUACAUUAUAGUAGUGGAAACGUACUAUAUCAUCCUUGGGUGCAGCCGCUGGUGCGCUACUAGGUUUAGGCAGCCUAUGAAUACGAUCUAUCAAUAAAUCCGAAUUAGUGGCAGUAGGUAUAACUGCCUUCAUUAUGUUCUGGAAAUAUUUCGGUAAUUCCAUGAUAUCAAUAUCUGAUCCUUAAGUUGUUGUGUCUGCUCCUGUCUUCAACAUCUGCCAACUUUUCCGUCUGCUGGUUUACCUGUCUUUGGAGCGCCUUUACAAUGUCAGUGAAAUCCAAAUGAGAUUGCUAUUGAAAAUGCAAUCUAUUUUCUAUUGCCUCCGUGCGUUGAUUAAUACCCUCCAUAACACCAUAGAUUGCCUCAAAAUCCUUUUUGAAGUAAUUUUUUAAGUUGAAUUAUCACUCCUGAUGGUGGCAAAUCUUCUCCCAUUUCAAGUUGGAUAGUAGGGUGAUAUGUUGCAGCUUUAAAAGUAGUGGUGGCCAUCUUGGAGGUGACAGUGGCAAUCUUGGAAGUGGCAUGCAAAGUAUCUACAUUGGCAGCCAUCUUUGUUGUGGCAUCACACUUUAUUCUUUGUGGUAGUGCUGAAACGGUUAAUGAUUGGAGCAUAUCAGCUCCUAAUUCCAUAAUUUCUUCUUCUGGGCUUUCUAUAGCCCUGUCUGUGCCUUUAAUUAUUUUGAGUCGGACGUCAGAUGCCCACCCGCCGCGACCGACAGCUGAGAGGCUGAAGAUCCAGACAGGGAAUGGGAUCUCUUGCCGCCUGUCCCCUCCUCUGCAACCCCCGCCUUGCUUUUGUAAGUGAGCAACCGGGCUGCUUUUGUAAUUAACCACUUGCGGUUAUCUGUAUGAACCGCGCCACUCGCGGGGGACAUUUCACCUCACUCUGAGCAUGCUGAGUGCUUGGAGUCGCACUCCGAGCUUGCGGCUGUCGCGGCCACGAUCCCGCCGCUCCUGGAAUGAUGCGAGCAGGUCGCGGCCACACUCGCAUAAAACCAGGUCUGGAGGGAGGCCACCAAUGGGGAUUUUAGUGGCGAGGCAAGCCGCAGGCUUGCCUUGCCUCGCAGAUGUAGGUGUGUGGCUCUGCAAGACCUUACUCACCCCAACAGCUCCUGCUUUGUGUUUCUUAGCCUCAGACAUGUUUUUUCCCGGUUUUCUUUGCUUCUGCAUGUUAACAGAGGGUUUAAAAUGCUGUAUUAGCAAUCAGAUUCGGCCCAUUAAAAUUGGAAAUUGUGAAUUUGUAAAAAAAUUGUCCCCUUGGCCCUGGAGCCUCUCUAGUAGGUGGCCAUCUAAGAUGUUGGCCAAGACAUGCCCCUCGGUUCGGCACUUCCGAAAUUCGAGACUUUGGCAAUUCGAGACUUUGGCACUUCAGAAAUUUGGGACUUCAGCAAUUCCCUAACCCUAACCCUACCCCUAAACCUAACCCAGGUACAGAGGAAGGAUUAACCUAUUUUGUAUGGUAGUGUCCUGGACCUGAUAACCAAUGUGAUUGUGUAUAUGUUUUUACUGUAGUCUACUUUCAGGUCCAGAGGUGAGUGCCUCUUGCAUGGGGAUUGACAUAAAAGGCUAGUGUUGCUAUCAAUAAACCAGUUCCUGCUUACCCUCAACAUAGAGUCUCAUCUCAUGUUUGUAGGGAACCGCUACAACAGCUAUAAUCACCAGCUCUUAUAAGAGCUACACAGCUAUACAGUCCUUGGAAUUUGGAAAGCAUCACUCUGAAUAGGGGAAAGAACAUCUCUGGCAGAGAAACCCCUCAUCCUCUCGGGGUGGCCGCCACAAGGAUAAAAGAAACUACUCAGACGAUCUCUUGAAAUCCCUUGACAUCUGACAAUCUGGCAGACAUCUUGAGACAAUCUUGACUAUAACACCUGUAAAACUGCUUCUUAUUUUUCACUCAUCCGUAAACCUAACUUAUCUCUACCAGGGAAAAGUUCUUAGAAUUUCUAUCUAUACUCUGUUCUUGGAAACACUUCCAAUUCCAGAAUUGUUUUAACUGCUAUUCACUAACUCUGAAUCAAUGUGCUCCAGAGACAUCUAGAACAUCUAUCACUAAAUAUAAGCCAAUUAUAACAUUACAUAACUAAAAGCUGAUCUGAAUCCUCCACACUUGGGUUCGUGAUAGCUCAUGAUUAAAAAUUUGUAUCUCAAACUGCAGACUGGGAGACAAAUUGAUAUCAUGAAAUAAAGAUAG